UUCUAUUCCAGCAAGUAUGAUGAUGGGUGGGAGAUCAAUUGUUAAUAGUAGAAAGAUUGCUUGGAUUUCUCUCAAGUGUAACAGACAAAAUGGGUCAUAUGAGUGCGGAUACUAUGUAAUGUAUUGGAUGACCCAUAUUGUUCGUUCUCACAUCACAAGUCGCUGGGAAACGAGAUUCAAGACUACUACACCAGUUCCUGAG